UAAAUGGGCUUGGCUUCCCACAA
rnacentral:snRNA from 1 species